GCCAGACUCCUACGGGAGGCAGCAGUGGGGAAUAUUGCACAAUGGGGGGAACCCUGAUGCAGCGACGCCGCGUGGGUGAAGGAGCGUUUCGGCGCGUAAAGCCCUAUCGGCAGGGAAGAAGGAGGACGGUACCUGACUAAGAAGCCCCGGCUAACUACGUGCCAGCAGCCGCGGUAAUACGUAGGGGGCAAGCGUUAUCCGGAUUUACUGGGUGUAAAGGGGGCGCAGACGGCAGCGCAAGCCAGGAGUGAAAGCCCGGGGCCCAACCCCGGGACUGCUCUUGGAACUGCGCGGCUGGAGUGCAGGAGGGGCAGGCGGAAUUCCUGGUGUAGCGGUGAAAUGCGUAGAUAUCAGGAGGAACACCGGUGGCGAAGGCGGCCUGCUGGACGGCGACUGACGUUGAGGCCCGAAAGCGUGGGGAGCAAACAGGAUUAGAUACCCCAGUAAAA
rnacentral:rRNA from 1 species